rnacentral:rRNA from 1 species
UAAGCCCAUGCCGGUCGAAGAUACCAGGCCGCUGCGACUGUUUAUUAAAAACACAGCACUCUGCAAACACGAAAGUGGACGUAUAGGGUGUGACGCCUGCCCGGUGCCGGAAGGUUAAUUGAUGGGGUUAGCGAAAGCGAAGCUCUUGAUCGAAGCCCCGGUAAACGGCGGCCGUAACUAUAACGGUCCUAAGGUAGCGAAAUUCCUUGUCGGGUAAGUUCCGACCUGCACGAAUGGCGUAACGAUGGCGGCGCUGUCUCCACCCGAGACUCAGUGAAAUUGAAAUCGCUGUGAAGAUGCAGUGUAUCCGCGGCUAGACGGAAAGACCCCGUGAACCUUUACUGUAGCUUUGCACUGGACUUUGAGCCUGCUUGUGUAGGAUAGGUGGGAGGCUUUGAAGCGUGGACGCCAGUCUGCGUGGAGCCAUCCUUGAAAUACCACCCUGGCAUGCUUGAGGUUCUAACUCUGGUCCGUUAUCCGGAUCGAGGACAGUGUAUGGUGGGCAGUUUGACUGGGGCGGUCUCCUCCUAAAGAGUAACGGAGGAGUACGAAGGUGCGCUCAGACCGGUCGGAAAUCGGUCGUAGAGUAUAAAGGCAAAAGCGCGCUUGACUGCGAGACAGACACGUCGAGCAGGUACGAAAGUAGGUCUUAGUGAUCCGGUGGUUCUGUAUGGAAGGGCCAUCGCUCAACGGAUAAAAGGUACUCCGGGGAUAACAGGCUGAUACCGCCCAAGAGUUCAUAUCGACGGCGGUGUUUGGCACCUCGAUGUCGGCUCAUCACAUCCUGGGGCUGAAGCCGGUCCCAAGGGUAUGGCUGUUCGCCAUUUAAAGUGGUACGCGAGCUGGGUUUAGAACGUCGUGAGACAGUUCGGUCCCUAUCUGCCGUGGACGUUUGAGAUUUGAGAGGGGCUGCUCCUAGUACGAGAGGACCGGAGUGGACGAACCUCUGGUGUUCCGGUUGUCACGCCAGUGGCAUUGCCGGGUAGCUAUGUUCGGAAUAGAUAACCGCUGAAAGCAUCUAAGCGGGAAACUAGCCUCAAGAUGAGAUCUCACUGGGAACUUGAUUCCCCUGAAGGGCCGUCGAAGACUACGACGUUGAUAGGUCGGGUGUGUAAGCGCUGUGAGGCGUUGAGCUAACCGAUACUAAUUGCCCGUGAGGCUUGACCAU